rfam:Bacillus vireti LMG 21834 contig57, whole genome shotgun sequence.
AAAUAAUAAACAUUUGUACUGUAGACAGCAGGUGCUUACGGGCUUAAUUUCCUGCCGAGGUUAGAGAAUAGAUUUAGCUGAACCGUUUCAGCUGAUGUAUGCUGCCUCCAUGUCUGAAAAUCGAUAUGGAGGCUUUUGCUUUCCUGG